AUUCUCAAAGUGUUGUCUAGUAACUCCUGGGUGUCCCAGAGACCAUUCCAGCAGGUCCAUGAGUUCAAGACUACUUUUAUAUAAUAGUACAUCAAUGAUCUCCCCAGCAUCCAAGAUCAAAGCCUAUGAGUUCGAUGGAGGCAUUGGACUAAAAAACAGUCCCUCUACCAAUGCAGUCCUGCAGUCAUGCAGUGGGAGAGAAGAGGCUACCAGCCAACCACCACAGCCAGAGGGAGGAGGCAGAGUGGACUGAGCCAGGGACCUGCAUUUUCUUUCAUAUAGGACAACAGCUGCACAGCACAACCUUGAUGCAACCUCAUAAGGG